UACAACGGGAUAUAAAAUAUAUAAAACACCUAGGCAUAUUCUCACACUUCGACAAACCAGGCACUAUUGUCAGAAUCAACACACGAAACGUCACACACGAAACGUCAAGAUUGAAGUGAAAGAGAAUCCACGAACAGUACACUUGAACAAGUUAAAACUAACACAUAAUCGAAACAGACCACCAGAAUGAUUUCAUGAGGCAACAUAAUAGGUGUUAUAUGGAAUAACACUGCUUGUUGAAUACUGCAGAUAGUACCUAGUGCACGAUUAAUCAUCGUAGAAGAAAGUGUACAUGAAGGAAGUGAACUCCACAAGGAUAGGCUACAGAUUCAUUUUGUAAAACAUACGACGUUCAGCUGAAACAAAUGGAUAAGUUAAUCUCAAUUGCACUAAUAUUAAAUAUUUAUAACAACAUUAAAGUUGAAUUAAAAGAAACAAGGAUAACGGACAAUAAUUGAUCCCCGUCAACAACAUUUACAAGAUAACAGGAUUUACGGUUGACCAUUG